rnacentral:tRNA from 1 species
GCCCGACUGGUCGGAAUCGGUAGACGCAGCGACCUCAAAAGUCGUGGCCUUCGGGCGUCCCGGUUCAAGUCCGGGGUCGGGCACCA